AAAUGAAUAGACGGGGGCCCGCACAAGCGGUGGAGCAUGUGGCUUAAUUCGAGGCAACGCGAAGAACCUUACCUGGGCUUGAAAUAUAGAGGACAGUCCGUGAAAGCGGAUCUUCCUUCGGGACUUCUAUACAGGUGCUGCAUGGCUGUCGUCAGCUCGUGCCGUGAGGUGUUCGGUUAAGUCCGGCAACGAGCGCAACCCGUAUCUUCAGUUGCCAUCAGGUAACGCUGGGGACUCUGAAGAGACUGCCCGUGUUAAGCGGGAGGAAGGUGCGGAUGAUGUCAAGUCAGUAUGGCCCUUACGUCCAGGGCUGCACACGUGCUACAAUGGUCGGUACAAUGAGACGCAAUAUCGCGAGAUGGAGCAAAUCUGCAAAACCGAUCUUAGUUCAGAUUGCAGUCUGCAACUCGACUGCAUGAAGUUGGAAUCGCUAGUAAAGGCGUAUCAGCUACGACGCCUUGAAUACGUUCCCGGGCCUUGUACACACCGCCCGU
rnacentral:rRNA from 1 species